AAAAUGAUUUAAGGUUUUUUUGUUUGUUUAGUUCCCACCGAAUUCAGUUUUUUCCACUGAGAUUGUAGCCUUAGUAUUGCUCAUAAAAGCCGCCACACAGAAGUCUACAACCACCUCUUUGGUCUUUUUGAUGUUUGGCAUCAGGUUGUGGCUUCUCCAUCAGACCGCCAGCCCUUUUGCUUCCUUCCUACGUGCCGAGUCAUCGCUGUAAGAGAUUAAGCCAAGCACUUUGGCGUCGCCUGCAAAUUUAAUGAUGUGAUUACCGGAGUAAGACGGGAUGCAGUCAUGUGUGUAAAGGUUGUACAGAAGUAGACGGAGUGCACAUCCUUGAGGAGCACUGAUGCAAAGAAUUAAAAUAGGUGAGAUGCAUUUGCAGAGUCUGACAAACUGUGCAGUUGUUCAGGAAGUUAGAUCCAGUUGCAUAUGGUGAGACUAAGAGCUAAAGCCCCUGCAUUCUCUGAAUAGGUUCAUUUGACAGGAUUAUGUAGUAAUAAGCUUAAAACUGAAACUCUUUUUGUAUUUUAAAAAAAGUGAAACAGUUUCAUAUGGAAUAAAAAAUCUCAAUUACCUGUGAAAAACCUUCAAAUUGUUCAGAUCCUCACAUGAACCUCCCAUUUUCUUCUUUCCUUUUUAGUGUAUCAUCUCUGGACUUUCCCAUUUCUUGGCAUGCAAGCUGUCAGAAAGCCUUUCCAUGCUUUUCUGUAAGUAGACAUCACUGUAAAGGGAAGACAAGUGCAAACGUCUUCAGAACUGCAGCCUUUUCUAACUUCCUGCAGCAUGUGAACUAACUCUUCUUCUGGAUGAUAGCAGAAUGGACUCUUAAAAAUGUGGCCCAUUGUGUUUGAAAUACCGUAUAUCUGUUUCACAUUACACUGCACCUCCCAAGGUUUACCCUCGCAACUUGUUGAGGUUACAGAUCCAAUAAUCCGAGCCAGAUCUUUGCUGAGGAAGCUUCUUGAGAGGUAGGAUUGAAAGAUCAAGUUAGUGAUAAAAAAAAACAAUAUUGCCGAUUAUUGACAUGCAACAAUGAACCAAGCUGUGUACUCUGAAAUUACCUAAGAGUCCAAAUGAUUUGUUUUAAUGUGUUUGAUCCAUAAUUUUUUUAUUAUUUGGGUUUGAUGCAGGAAUUCUUCACUUUCAGCUUUAGAAGAUCUACCACGAGGCCUCCCUUUGGUGGAACAUCCCUGUAAUACUCCACCAGGUAGAUGUAGUCUUCCCAAAAGUUAUCUCUGCUACCUCUGAUUCCCCAAAGACCAUGCAGGCUUUCAUCUGAGUUCCUCCCUGAUGACUAAACCUUGCACUGUGUUUCUAAAGGGACCCCCAGCUGUUCUGGGAAAAAUGUACAUUUUCUCUGCCUGUAUCCCUGACCUGAACCGUUCUUUCACAGCCAAUACCCCCCAAGGAUGGUUUUGAAAGAGAAGCAAGUCCCAUUCACUUUUUUUCCAACUUUCCUCAAAAAUGAACUCAUGUCAAAGACAAAUUUAAUCUUUAUGUCGUGAGUUCCCAUUCAUGACAACUGAAAAAGAAGAUUUUUUUUGUUUAAAAAGCUGUUCAGAUUUUAUUAGAGCCGUAACUUCUGCUUGAUAGUGGGGUGUUUGCUGUUUUGAUUGGCAGGUGGGUGGACCAGUGGGUAAACUUAAAAUUUUUUUUUUUAUUCUUUCCUAUUUAGUCACUCAUUUUCCAAUCUGUGGGGAGAUGGGUGGAGUAACCUCCAGUCCAUCUGGUCACACCAGUUGGCACUUCACUUUUUAAUCCAUUUACAAUCCUGUGGGCGACGUUAGAGUCCUUUUGUGCAAUUAUUAUUUGUUCCUUGUUAAUAUAAAAGUAGGAAUAUAGACUGAAAGACAAAUUGAGGAUUUUUCUUUCUUUCAAAUUCAGCACUUCUGAAGACACUGCACUGAUCUAUUGGCCAUUCUCAUGCAACAGAUUUUUAAGCUCCUCCACCCAGGAAGGUGAGUUACUUCUGACCUGUCCUGUAAUACCCAAAGUAAAUUGAUCAACCAACUUGAAAAAACAAGAACCAGGAAGUAAUCUGAGUUUUGGUUUGGCUGUAACAAGCAGGAUAUCGUCUGCAAAAGAAACAACAGAACUAACCUUUACUUUAUAAUCAGUUGUGAAUUUGAAAACGAAAGUUUAUCUUCCUAAACUUCAAGAUGACCCUUUUAGCAGGAGCAAUAGAAUUCUAUGUCAAGGCACCAAGGCUGAGUGAGUGAAAAAUCUCUCUGACAGGUAACCCUUUACACCCUUAACACUCUUUCUUUACACUCUUGAGUAACUCUUUAAGCUUUUACACAAUUAACAUAAUUCCAGAGGAUUCUAAAAUGGAGAAAAGUAACCUUGCAUUUCGAUUUAACAAUUUGUAGUAGUGAUUCAAAGUAGUGUAUUUAUAUAUCAGUGUAUAUCAGUUGAUUCUGUCAUGAAGAAAAGCGACUGUGCUUCAGUACAAAGCCAAUAUGCAAAGCCGCUUUUUUAGAAAUGGCUAAUUUACAGUUGAUCGCGUAAACAGUCGAAGAGCUACAGUAUGUCAAAGGCCUGUGGUAUUUAGGUGUAGCCAGCGACAUCUCAGAUUUUUAAGGGUUAACUAACUAAAACAGACAAGAAACGUCUGUGCAAAGCACUGCAAUUGAUUACUGCGAGAGAAUCUGCCAUAAAAAAAGAAUCUGACCAACACAGAUGGAAAAACAGAAGAUGAAGGUGUCAACAUGUAUUUCCAGCACCAAACCACCCUCUGCCAACCUCACCUCAGAGCAGAAACAUCUGUAAAAAACAGACCAUUUUAUCUCCAUCCUACCUGCAGAUAUAGAAAGAUGUACAGUUGUCUUGAACAUUUCUUUGCUGCACAAAGAUUUCCAUAAUUUUGCGCAACAUAACCAAAACACUUAAAAAAGGGAGCCCGGGUACCCCAGGAGAAAACAUCCCAUGUUUGGAUAAAUUCUCAAAAAUCCACAAGGGAGGAGCACUCCUAGGACCAAUUGUGAGCAGCCUAAACUUGGUCCUCUACAAUGAGGCCAAACACCACAUGAUCUUUUUAUCUUUGUUGGUAAGAAACACAAUAAACCACAUCCACAACACCCGGGACACAGAAAUGUAACUUUUUUUUGCCACCCCUCUGAGGCCGUCUGCACAAUAAUAAUCUGAAGGAGAGGUUACUCGGAUGAGCAGCGAGAUGUCUUCCACAUCAGUGUUUCCCAAACGGGGUCCUCGAGGCACAAACUCCUGCAAUUUUUCAAUGCAGCCUCCCUCAAACACACCUGCCUUUCAUAACUAUCAUUGUCAGGAUACUGUAGAACCUGACGAUGAGCUAUAUCAGGGCACCUGUUCUUGAUCAAACUUUAAAGUCCAGUUGACCUGAAGGACAGAAUCCAGAGAUGACACAACAUGGGUGACUGUGUGUCUCCUUAGACAUUCAUUCGCUUUUUGUGAAUACCUUUGCGUGACACAGAUGUGCUAACUCUUUUCAAAGUUGCUAUAAAUUUGUGAUUGAUUGAAAAUUGUCCCAAUUUUGGGGAUGAGUGGUAAAGGAGCUCUGUUGGUGACCAAGACACUAAAAGCCCAUAAAAAAGGCAAGACAGCUCUCCUUAACGUAUAGCAGAUGGAGCAAUCGCUGCAAAUCGAAUUCCUCACUCAUCAUGGAAAACUCACGAUACACAUAGCAUUUAAUCCAGACCAUAAUGAUUUCCGCUGUGAAUUGUUUUUCGCACUUUUUUAAGCAAACUUGAAACAGCAUUUAAAACUACAGUUUCAAGUUACACAAAAAUUGGCCUAAGAUAGUUCUUUAUACUGAUAAAGCCCCUUGGAUGAGUAGCAAACGGUUUUAGGAAGGUAGAUUUUUAGACUCAACUUCAAGACAACUGGAUGAAUGAGAACCGUCACCGAGAUAAAAGAGAAUGCAUGCAAAAAUAUGAACAGGUUACAUUACAUAAAUCACAGUUUCUCCCAUUUUUUUGCUUGGGGUCUUACGUUCACUAGAAUGCUGUUUGGUGUAGUUUUGCUGAAAAGUCUGAAAAGCCUUACACAGGAUUUUUGUUUAUAUGUAUUUGACAUAUGCUAUCGGUAAAACGUACAGAGAAUUCUUGUGAAAAACCGUCAAGACUGAAUCCCAUCACUCAGCAGCUGUGGAGUCGAAACCAUGAAAUUGCACAUGGGUAGGAAGCAUGAGGGACUGAGCUCUUUUAUGUUUUGUUUUUUUCUUUCGUGCGACCAUGUAGGGACGCUCUUACAAGCGGGUGUUUAUCGAACAUAAAAAGGCUCCGAUUAGCUGAGUGCUUGUGUUUGUUCUCAUGGCCUGUCUCAGGUUUUUGUUGCUGUUCGCUCUCGUCUUUCAUCUGGUUCUUUCUCUCCAUCAUCACACCCAUAAAGGUCCCCCGUGAAGACAUCAUUGUGCUCACCACAACAGAGAAAACAUCCCACAUUUGUAAAUGGGCUGCUGCCAGUUGGACAGGUUUUUCUUAAACUGGGAGUUCAGCAGGGAAGGGGGAGAAAGUCUUCCUUUUUGAGUUCAAAAUGACAGCACAUAGGGGAUGAAGACAAAAAUGACUGUGUUUAUUUGUAUGCUUCUUUCUAACUGAUGUAGUCCCUAAACGCAAAUUAUGAAAGAGUUUACAGUUCACCACAGGAUCAUGCAGGGACAAACUAAAAGGAACAUGUGCAAUCUGCUUGCUACAUCGUAAUUUGAUUUGUAAAUUGCGCAAAUAUAAGAUAUGAAAACAUCCCGACACCCUAAGGACCUCUGUUAUCAUCAACAUGGCUCCCGUAAACCGUAAGGGAUUUUUCUAAAUCAAAACACUAAUGUUUUCCAGGUAUCUUUCUUGGAUAGUACUCUGUGGUCAGAUUUUUUGUUAUGGUAGCCAACUCCUUUUUGUUUUUUUAACCAAACCUGUUUGAGAUUAGGAUUUACAAGGCUACAGAUGCUUUCACACCUGUUUAUUGAGAGUUUGUUUUCACAGAUAAUCUGUUGUAUUUUGGGCAGAAAAUAAAAGUCCACUGAACUGUGGACCAAAGGAUGGUCCCUCUGGAGACAAGAGUAUACUCUGGUACAGUUCAGCAAAAAUGUAAAUGUUGAUUUGUUCUUUAACAGACUUAAGACAAGAAGAAUGUGCAUUUUUAGUACACAACAGAACGCCAUUUAUCUCUUCGUGUUUUCCUUCUUCCUGGUUGUUUUUGGCUAAAGCAAUACCACCCUAAAGCAAGGUUCACACCAAACACCAGUUUUAACGAUAAAACACAAUCAGUGGUCAUGUGGUGUGUUUUGGUGGUUUGGCAGCAGUGCAUUUCAAGCAUUGCGACGUAAUGUUUCCAGAGUUCAAAUAUCUGAACUCUGUCAAAGAGUUUGUGUCAUGUCAACCAAACGGCUUUUGCGGCAUGUGUCGUGUUGGUGAUGUCAUCAGCUAGUGGAGUCCAAAACCAACAUGGAGGAGAAUCUGGUUAUUGCUGUUUGUUCACCUCUUGAACGUAAUGAUAUUUUUCUUAUUUGCAUGGAGACAAUAAUAAAAAUGAUCCUCUUCUUUUAUUCAGAUUUUGUGGAACUUCAAAAUAAAUAAAUCUGAUCUCUCAACAUCAUCCGUGUCUGCCAUACUUUGACUGAGAUACACAGACAUUCAGUGCUUCCAUGAGUGAUGAGGCCACACACUUAGUUUAGACAGUUGCUCCUCGCACAUCCAUCAAGAACAUCAAGUUUUUAAUACAUCUUUGGAUAAGUGUCAAGCAGCAAAUUUGUCUAAAGAGAGGCGACAGACAUGAAUUGUACAUGUGAAUCGUGUUUAGUGUGAACGCCGCACAAGACCGAUACGACUGUAAUCUAACCAAAUCUUCAACUCUAUUGUGAAAGCUUCCUAAAUAUUUUAAACUACUCUUACAAGGUUUGAACAAAAAAUGUUUUCUGUCUAAUUUUGCAGUUGGACUGCCCUGCACAUGACUGAAAAUGCUUCACACAUUUUUUUUCUGUUCGGCUCACCCUUAAACAGAUCAAACCGUGUGAAAACAUCACACAGCUACAACAGCUUCUUUUUUAAGCGAUUUUUCCUCAAACAAGACACUGUAUCAAGACCAAGAAGAAAAAACAGCUACAGUCCUGCUGCUGGUCCCCUAACUAUCAUAUGCAGAUGAAUGAAGAAUAAAACCAAUCCCAAUGUGUGCAAAGCAAAAAAGACUGCCCCCGAAAUGGGGAGCGGGAGUAAGUCAAGAUUCCAUUUGGCUCGUCUGUGCUCCUGUACUUGACCGUGGACCUCACCUCUGGCUCGUCUCGUGCCCCAGCUGUCUCCAGGUUCCAUCCGGAAGAAGCCCAUUUGCUACACCAUUCAAACAUGUAGUUGUAGAGUUAGAUGGGGUAAAUCUUCUUUAACAGUCCUUGUACAUCGCCUGUCCAUCCUGGAAAAUGAUGCCUCCAUCAUGUGGACAUACCUGAGGUUUCUUCUUUGUGUUUCCUUACCGAGAAGGAAGCUCUAAGGGCAGGGAUGCCCAGUUUAGCUUAGUCUGUUUAGUUAAGCAAU